rnacentral:rRNA from 1 species
AACGAACGCUGGCGGCAGGCUUAACACAUGCAAGUCGAACGCUCCGCAAGGAGAGUGGCAGACGGGUGAGUAACGCGUGGGAACGUACCUUUCAGUUCGGAAUAACUCAGGGAAACUUGUGCUAAUACCGAAUACGCUCGCAAGAGGAAAGAUUUAUCGCUGAAAGAUCGGCCCGCGUUGGAUUAGCUAGUUGGUGGGGUAAAGGCCUACCAAGGCGACGAUCCAUAGCUGGUCUGGGUGGAUGAUCAGCCUCACGGGGACUGAGACACGGCCCAGACUCCUACGGGGGGCAGCAGUGGGGAAGAUUGGACAAUGGGCGCAAGCCUGAUCCAGCCAUGCCGCGUGUGUGAUGAAGGCCUUAGGGUUGUAAAGCACUUUCACCGAUGAAGAUAAUGACGGUAGUCGGAGAAGAAGCCCCGGCUAACUUCGUGCCAGCCGCCGCGGUAAAAC